ensembl:snoRNA
UGUGACAGUGAUGAGUUGCACUAUUAGUCAGGUUGGUGAUUGCAGUUGCAGAGCCACCCUGUCCUGACAAGCUGUGGUGACACCUCAAGGUGCACAGGGGCCAUCUGAGUCACU